UUUGUGCCCGGACGUCGCCGUGCUUCCCGAGCGGCCAUAGCGGCGCGGAAAUGUCGAUUGUUUGAUCCGGCUCAGGAUGAACGCUAGCGGCAGAGCUUAUCACUUGCAAGUCGAAGAGUAAAAUAGUAGCAUACUAUGAGACCGGCAAACGGAUACGGAACACGUACAGAACGUACCUUUAUCUGGGACAUAGCCCGGAGAAAUCCAGAUUAAACUCCCCAUAGUAUCAUGGGAUGGCAUCAUUUGGUGAUUAAAAAUUUAUUGGAUAAAGAUGGCUGUGCGUCCCAUUAGCUAGUUGGUAGGGUAACGGCUUUCCAAGGCGACGAUGGGUAGCUGGUGUGAGAGCACGACCAGCCACACGGGCACUGAGACACGGGCCCGACUCCUACGGGAGGCAGCAGUGAGGAAUAUUGGUCAAUGGACGCAAGUCUGAACCAGCCAUGCCGCGUGAAGGAUGAAGGCCUUCUGGGUUGUAAACUUCUUUUAUGUGGGAAGAAACCUCUGAUUUCUAUUAGAGUUGACGGUACCAUAGGAAUAAGCACCGGCUAACUCCGUGCCAGCAGCCGCGGUAAUACGGAGGGUGCAAGCGUUAUCCGGAUUUACUGGGUUUAAAGGGUGUGUAGGCGGGCCUUUAAGUCAGUGGUGAAAUCUCCGGGCUCAACCCGGAAACUGCCAUUGAUACUAUUGGUCUUGAAUUCUGUUGAGGUGGGCGGAAUAAGUCAUGUAGCGGUGAAAUGCAUAGAUAUGACUUAGAACACCAAUUGCGAAGGCAGCUCGCUAAGCAGAUAUUGACGCUGAGGCACGAAAGCGUGGGGAUCAAACAGGAUUAGAUACCCUGGUAGUCCACGCCCUAAACGAUGAUUACUCGACAUACGCGAUACACAGUGUGUGUCUGAGCGAAAGCAUUAAGUAAUCC
rnacentral:rRNA from 1 species